rnacentral:rRNA from 1 species
UACAGAGGUCUCAAGCGUUGUUCGGAUUCAUUGGGCGUAAAGGGUGCGUAGGCGGCGCGGUAAGUCGGGUGUGAAAUUUCGAGGCUUAACUUCGAAACUGCAUUCGAUACUGCCGUGCUUGAGGACUGGAGAGGAGACUGGAAUUCUCGGUGUAGCGGUGAAAUGCGUAGAUAUCGAGAGGAACACCUGCGGCGAAGGCGGGUUGCUGGGCUGACACUGACGCUGAUGCGCGAAAGCCAGGGGAGCGAACGGG